AACGAACGCUGGCGGCAUGCCUAACACAUGCAAGUCGAACGAAGGCUUCGGCCUUAGUGGCGCACGGGUGCGUAACGCGUGGGAAACUGCCCUUUGGUUCGGAAUAACUGCUGGAAAAGGCUGCUAAUACCGGAUGAUGACGAAAGUCCAAAGAUUUAUCGCCAGUGGAUGAGCCCGCGUUGGAUUAGGUAGUUGGUGGGGUAAAGGCCUACCAAGCCGACGAUCCAUAGCUGGUCUGAGAGGAUGAUCAGCCACACUGGGACUGAGACACGGCCCAGACUCCUGCGGGAGGCAGCAGUGGGGAAUAUUGGACAAUGGGCGCAAGCCUGAUCCAGCAAUGCCGCGUGAGUGAUGAAGGCUCUAGGGUUGUAAAGCUCUUUUACCCGGGAUGAUAAUGACGGUACCGGGAGAAUAAGCCCCGGCUAACUCCGUG
rnacentral:rRNA from 1 species